AUUGUACAGUUUGAUUACAAUUUUAGGAACAUCUAGUGUAUUUUUAUGAAUGAAUACAUUUGAAGUUUUUAUUUUAGUACUUAAAUGUUCAAUUAUGAUAUAAAUGGCGGGAAUUUACUGAUGAGUUUGCCGUGUAUGGUGACUACCCCUAAAUUAUCGUGUCGAUUCGUCCGUCGCCGCAUAAACGCUUUGAACUUUUAGCGGGUGCCAAGUAAUUAGUGCCUGCAUGAGAUGAAAGCGGUUUGGAGACCCAAUCAUACAGCAGUUAAUUUUCAACAAAUUUUCAAAAUAUCUGCUUGUUUUAUAUACUAGUAGACAAGUGAAGUUUAUUCUCGUGCAUGAUGUCCUUUAUGCAGUAGAUCUAUGUGGCGGGCAGUUUGUUGCGUGUUUAUAAUGCUGCAAAAUUAAAUAUAAGAAGAGAUGAUAGACACACUAACCAUAGUGUUUGCAGAAGCGGUUGGUCCAUCUCAGCCGUGGUGGUGGAGUAUUCGUCGCAGAAGCGGUGGAUAAAAUAUGGCCGUUUGCUGUUGUCAAUCUACCUAUCAUUUUUACCAGUCGGGCAUAAGCAUGAAGAUAAGAUACCUCCUUAAACAAGAAACUUCACUCUACGGAUUGUGAGACAAGGCCAGAUCUUAAAGUUAUUGAAGGAUGCACAAAUGAUAGAUGCAAUGGCCAACUAAAAAGAAUGGAUGAACAAAAUUUAUCAUUUGAGGCUUCUCUACUGGACAUUUUGCUUGGGUUAGGGCUUUGGGCCUUAUAUUUAGCGUAUGUAGCGAAGACCUACAAAAAUAAUAGUAAUACAAAAACAAAUCUGCAACAGAAUCACACAAAUGUUGUUAAAACUAUUUAAUAGAGAAAAUAGUUCUUUUUAAGAAAUUGUGUACAUUUUAUACAAAGAAAGAACUAAUGGAAGGACUAAAAAAUGAACAUGCCACAUGCAUAUCUCCCAGGUGUUUUGCUUGGGUUAGGGCUUAAAUUAAUCUUACAUUGCUGUAAAAAAGACCUACCAAACUAUUGCAAUAACAAAUCUGGACUCAGACAAAUAGUGUUUAAAUGAUUGGCUGGAGAAAAUGGUGCUUUUUACAAAAAAUUAUACAUUAUAAACAUGUACAGAGCUCAACAAGUAAACCUGACUUAGCACUACAAAUUUGUAAAAAGUUAUUUGAAUAUUGUUUUCACAAAGGCAGACUUGGGAAAAAGUAAGCGACACCUGCCCUGAUUUAAAGCGGAUUCUCUUUUUGGCAGAUUUUAGAUUGUUGAUAUUUCAAGAAUAGAAAAACGGAAACAAACAGUGAGUUAUUUAUUAUCUGGAAAUGAAGAUGCAGUGGUAUUUUGGAGAAAAACAAUAUCAAAUGAAUUAUAUGUGUUAAUUAAAGAGAAAAAACUGAUUGAUAAGAUCUUGCAAGGUUGUUCAGAAUUUGUUAUACUUCAUCGUGCAAUAAGUUAAAUUUUUGCCAGCAGAACAGAAUCAUUUAUGAUUAUACAUGUAUAUUUUAACAAGUAAAUCAAGAGAAGGAGAGAACACAUGUCAAACAUCUGGAUGGUUUGUAACUGGUACGUUUAUUCAAGGAUUUACCGGUUUCGGUCUUUCAAGACCUUCAUGAGGAUAAUUUCAAUAAUAAAUGAUUAUACUGAAGUACUAAAAAAGAGGGAACAGAAUGUGACAUAUGUUACUAUAACUAGACAUAUAAAAGAGUUUUCUUGGCAAAAUGCCAAGUUAUUGUCCAUAUAAAAUGUUUCAAAUGUUGGUUAACCACAGAUCAUAUCUAUCAUCAAUGACCAAUUUUACGUCAUGGUUAAAGUGUUCAUAUUCACCUAAAAUGAUUGUGUCGCAAAAAUGUAGUUGAGACUAAGCUUCGCAGUCUUAAAAAGGGACUCCACUGAGGUUUAAAAGCCUAAAAACAUAACAUUUGAAUUUCUUACAUAAUUGAGCUGGGACACUUUAAACAGAAAUAUAUGCAAAGAUAGUUAAGAAAUAUACUUUGAAAUAAAUAGAAAAUCGUAUUAUUAUGCUUUCCUUAGCCCGAAUUGAGUGAAAAGGGUUUAAAACGCUUUUCAUUUUGGGUCAUUUUUUACAAUUUGAAUACAUUUGUUUUGUUAUUAUUCUGGAAAAACUAAGUGCGCGAAUGAUCGGAAAUUUUGCACAAAGAUUAGUGGUCUAAACCUACAUCAAAUGGUACAUUUUACUGGAAAAAUUAUUUCCAGUCCAAUCAUGUCAAAAAACCUCAGUGGAGUGACCCUUUAAGUUGAUUGUAGUUACUUAGGAGAAAAUUAGUUGGAUUCUGUAUUAAUUUAACAAACUAAAUUUCUUUUUUUUUUGUGAGUAAAUAUAUAGAUGCUAGUUGUUAGUUGAGACUUCCUUCUGAAGUUGUUUCCUUUAUGUAAUAUUGUAACAAAUUUUAUCUUAAAAUCUAGUAUGGUAUUUUAGCUGCUGGUUCUUGCAGAAAAGAAUCACUUAUGGUUAUAUCCUAUGUUUAAAUUGUUGUUAUCAAACUUAUGUUCCGCCAGCAGAACAAUUUCAAAUUGAUUUUAUUAAAUGAUAUUCUUUCUGAAUUAUAUUUUUGAUUAAACCUAAAAAGGUUAAGAAUUUUCUUGUAAUAAUAAAUGUUCCGCCGGCAGAACAGAAUCACUUAUGGUUAUAUCCUAUGUUAAAAUUGAUGUUAUCAUACUUAUGUUCCGCCAGCAGAACAAUUUUAAAAUUAAUUUUAUUAAAUGAUAUUCUUUCUGAGUUAUAUUUUUGAUUAAACCUAAAAAGGUUGUUAAGAAUUUUCUUGUAAUAAUAAAUGUUCCGCCGGCAGAACAGAAUCACUUAUGGUUAUAUCCUAUGUUUAAAUUGAUGUUAUCAAACUUAUGUUCCGCCGGCAGAACAAUUUCAAAUCAAUUUUAUUAAAUGAUAUUCUUUCUGAGUUAUAUUUUUGAUUAAACCUAAAAGGUUGUUAAGAUUUUUCUUGUAAUAAAUAAAUGUUCCGCCGGCAGAACAGAAUCACUUAUGGUUAUAUCCUAUGUUAAAAUUGAUGUUAUCAUACUAAUGUUCCGCCGGCAGAACAAUUUCAAAUCAAUUUUAUUAAAUGAUAUUCUUUCUGAGUUAUAUUUUUGAUUAAACCUAAAAGGUUGUUAAGAUUUUUCUUGUAAUAAAUAAAUGUUCCGCCGGCAGAACAGAAUCACUUAUGGUUAUAUCCUAUGUUAAAAUUGAUGUUAUCAUACUAAUGUUCCGCCGGCAGAACAAUUUCAAAUCAAUUUUAUUAAAUGAUAUUCUUUCUGAGUUAUAUUUUUGAUUAAACCUAAAAGGUUGUUAAGAUUUUUCUUGUAAUAAAUAAAUGUUCCGCCGGCAGAACAGAAUCACUUAUGGUUAUAUCCUAUGUUAAAAUUGAUGUUAUCAUACUAAUGUUCCGCUGGCAGAACAAUUUCAAAUCAAUUUUAUUAAAUGAUAUUCUUUCUGAGUUAUAUUUUUGAUUAAACCUAAAAGGUUGUUAAGAUUUUUCUUGUAAUAAAUAAAAUAAAUGUUCCGCCGGCAGAACAGAAUCACUUAUGGUUAUAUACUAUGUUAAAAUUGAUGUUAUCAUACUAAUGUUCCGCCGGCAGAACAAUUUCAAAUCUAUUUUAUUAAAUGAUUUUCUUUCUGAGUUAUAUUUUUGAUUAAACCUAAAAGGUUGUUAAGAUUUUUCUUGUAAUAAAUAAAUGUUCCGCCGGCAGAACAGAAUCACUUAUGGUUAUGUCCUAUGUUAAAAUUGAUGUUAUACUAAUGUUCCGCCGGCAGAACAAUUUCAAAUCAAUUUUAUUAAAUGAUAUUUUUUCUGAGUUAUAUUUUUGAUUAAACCUAAAAGGUUGUUAAGAUUUUUCUUGUAAUAAAUAAAUGUUCCGCCGGCAGAACAGAAUACUUUAUGGUUAUAUCCUAUGUUAAAAUUGAUGUUAUCAUACUUUUGUUCCGCCGGCAGAACAAUUUCAAAUCAAUUUUAUUAAAUGAUAUCCUUUCUGAAUUAUAUUUUUGAUUAAACCUAAAAAGGUUAAGAUUUUUUUUUUGUAAUAAAUAAAUGUUCCGCCGGCAGAACAGAAUACUUUAUGGUUAUAUCCUAUGUUAAAAUUGAUGUUAUCAUACUUAUGUUCCGCCGGCAGAACAAUUUCAAAUCAAUUUUAUUAAAUGAUAUUCUUUCUGAGUUAUAUUUUUUAUUAAACCUUUAAAGGUUGUUAAGAAUUUUGAUAUGUUGUUAUAAGUAAAUGUUCCGGCGGCGGAACAGGAUUUUUUAUGGUUCUAUCUUAUUUUUGCAUUCAUAUGGACUGGAAUCAUAUUUUUGUUCUGCUGGCGGAACAAUUCCAAUGAGUUCUUUUAUUUGAUUUUUACUUUAAGAAAUGCAUUUGUUACAAAAUCUUGCAAAGGUUGUUUAGAAUUGUGGUAUGUUGUAAUUAAUAAAUGUUCCGCCGGUAGAACAGAAUCACUUAUGUGUAUAACCUAGUACGUUUUAAUACAUGUUUUCAUACUUAUGUUCCGCUGGCGGAACAAUUUAAGACUGAACUAUUUUGUAAAAUAGCUUAAUUUAUUUUUUAUUUAAUGUUCCGCCGGCAGAACAUUUUAGCAUUUUUGGAUUCUUGCUAUCUCGCAGAAAGAACUGCUAAAUGUUCUGCUGGCGGAACAAAUCAUGAUUUAUUUGUGAUAAUAUGCUGUAUUUUUAUAACAAAAUGAAAUAAAUUUUGUGUUAAAUAUA